UGGCGUAGUGGUCACUGCACACGCCUUGCACGCGGGAGACCCGGGUUCGAUUCCCGG
rnacentral:tRNA from 1 species